ensembl:lncRNA LINC02788 long intergenic non-protein coding RNA 2788
GGCCUCCUGCCCUUGGAACCGCGUGGUGAGGCGACCUCAGCGAGGCGAGCAGCAUUCGGGUCCAGAGAGGUGGGGUCCUGCUGUGUCUGCAAAAGAAAUGAAUUGCUGCUGUGGGAAGAAUAACAACUGUUUUUAGAAAAUGUUCAUAGCUGACCGAUUAAGCCAAUCUGUAGAACUCAAGUCAGCUUCUUCUUCUCCUUUAAGUCUCAGCUGGAGUUGAAUUUGAAUUAUUUCCUCAAAUUUUAAAUUGCUGGUUUUUGGAAAGCAAUGAGCACUGAAGGAUGCUAAAGGAAGAUGGCUUGCCACCUCCAAGGCUCUUAAACCAGAUGUGCUGUGGGUUCUGAAAGCAGUGCCCAACAAAGAGCUCCAGAAACGUUUUGAGCAAUGGCAGCAAUGGAAGCACCUACACAAUAAGUGACAGCCUUCCAAGAUGACUUGAUAGAUGAGAACACACUAAAAUGUUUGUGUAAGUUCUGGUGUAGUUGUUAACAUGCAGACAUUAGUUAGACCUUGGUUAUACCGUUUCAGCCCUCCAGCUGAGAGUUAGGGACAAAAUUAUUCCUAACAUAUUGUACUUCAAAAAAUGGUACAUCCUUUAGGUGCAUCUUGCAGAUUUCACACAAAAUGUUUUAAUAUUUAGGAUCUAGAUAUUGUUUUGAAUGAUUUCAAGCAUUAUCCAAGAAAGAUGAAAACUAUAACUGAGAUAAACAUAUUGAGUAUGUUUUUAUAUUUUUAUUAAACCAAUUAAUUUUAA